GGCAAAUGAAUCCUGGUCGCUCGUUCACCUCGCCACAGUAAAAUUCUCCACCCACUUUUCACUCCAGCCGUUGGAUCCAGUCGUUCUUUUUCCACUCGUUCAGCUUCCAAGAGAGUCCAUGACUUGUAGGACCAAAUACGUGCGGGGUCCAGCGGUCAGUGCCAGGCAAAGGCGCCGGUCUGCGUCACCUUCCUUCUCAACGCGUGGUGAAAACCUAGACACCCAAUCCGUCGCUUUGCGCUCCUCGUCCCCAAUCCCCGCCUCCUCUCCUCGCCCGAAUCAGCCGCCUCCUCUCCUCCCCCAAUCAGCCGCCUCCUCUCAUCAUCCCAAUCGGCGACCUCCGUCGGAAUGGAACGGAGCGGCAGCAAACUGGGCAGGCGGCGGCGACCAGAUGCGCCGAGCGAGACCAGAGACGGGCCGGAGGCGGCUGGAUGCGGGAGCCGCCGCCGGCAGGGAGGACGCCGCGGUUGGAAGCGGCGGCGGCCUGCAGCGCGCACCGAGCGAUGGGACGCCUAGACGCGGCAGCAGCGAUGGAAGGCAGCGCCGAGAUCCCGAGCCGCCACCGUCGCAUCUCUCUCCCUCUACCUACCCAGCGUCGGAGGUGGAGGAGCAGCGAGGGGCGACGCUGCUCCUCGCUGGUGGAGGAGCAGCGACGAGCGGCUCUUUGGGUGGCUUUGGGUACGGGGGUGCUGGGGGCAGGCCGACCAGUGGCAGCCGUGCUCCCUCAGCCAUGCCCUUACUCGUCGUUGUCCGCUGUCUUCUACACGAGAUCCAGGAAUCUGGUGAAUGGCCAUGAAGUGCACGUGGAUGUGGGACUCUACAUAGACCUUGGCUGCCUCCCCUGCCGUCCUCCCCUUUCUCGGUCGGUGAGGUUUUGUGUAUGAAGCAUUCUUAGUUGGUCAGUAGCUUCUACUGAAGGACAUCAUGAGGCUCAGACCUCCCAAGCAUCAGAUCAAAACACUACAAGGAUAGUAGGAAUAUUGCAAUGAAGUCGAUUGCUUGAAGAUGAUGGUGCAUCUCUAAACACCAUGUGUGAAAAUCUGGGAAAGAAAAGAAGUGGAAAAAUCUCACGGAAGAGUUUCAUGAAGGAGAACUAGGUUGUACUCUAUUCAGGAGCCAUUGUACAUGCUUUAUGUUGGCUUUGGUGGUUCCAAAUGAAUUAUGUUGGAAGUCGUGUAAGAUUAAGAGUACUGAAUUGAUGAAUUAGUGCUUCAAUGUUCUACGUCGUGAAGACGCUGCAUGGAGUGGUGAGGGACAGUCGAACAGUGAUCGUGUCGAUCCAUCAGCCAAGCAGCAAGGUCUUUGAGCUUUUUGAUCAGUCGUGGUGUUCUCUCAGGGUGGAAACAGUGUACUUUGGGCAGACCCGUGAGGCUUAUGAGUUCUUUCCCAAGCUACCUUCCCAUGUCCACCGCUCCAUGGAUUCAGCUAUGUGCAGCACUCAAAGUUGCUGUGCAAGGUGAAGAUCGAUCUGCAGAUCGCGGAAUUCAUGCUGAUGGUGGUCCCCUGAUCCCUGCUUACCAAGGAGGUUAAGCUGACAUGAUUCAGCCCAAAAUGGGUUGGCAUUUUCUUCUGCUUACCUUACUUAAAGAGGGUAGAAGCUGGUCAUGUUGGCCACUGGAAGUCUGAUAGAGUGAAGAAUAAAAAGGCUGGAAAUUCCAUUGAUAAUGUGGUAACAGAAGAAUUGGAGGUGCCUUCUGGUAUUAAUAAAUCUGGCAGAAAGGUUUUUGCUUAUGUGGCCAUGUGGGUAGGUUUGGACCGGCUUGGUUUUCUGCUAAGGCCCUUGAUAUAGACUAACAUAGUGCAUUCAUCAACUAUGAGGUCCACAGAGAAGAUGUUAUAGGUCAGAAUGUCGGUGAUUCUGAAUCAACACAUGUUCUCAUGAGCACGAAUACCUCCGACACUGCAAAGAGGGUCAAUGCUCUGAGAGAUAACAGGCCAUGUUCUUGUGUUCACUUAUUCUCGCCUUAAAUUCUUUUCGUGGGCUAAUGUUUGUGCAUAAUGAUGGGGGAAACCAACAAAAAAUGCACGAAUGUUGAUCUCAAACUUGUGCUUUGGGGACAAAGCGAUAUUGAAUUCAACAAUAAACUUAUGUAUGAUAAUGGCCAGAGAUUUUCUGUUGUUGGGAUCUCUGUUGGUGUUCUUAAAUCUUACAACAAUGAUGAGAUUCUCAGUGGAGGUUCUGUUUGGUGAUGGUACCUCAAUGUAGAUGAUGAGAUUCUCGGUGGAGGCUGGGUGAUGACUUCACAAGAAUUCAGUGGAUUUCCACAGGCGCUAAAACCUUUGUCACGACUCGCAACAGAGGUGACCUUCCGCGUAAGAGAGUUGCUGAACAACCUGGACCCAUGGGAAACAAAAGGUUGGAUGGAGCAUCGAGCAUUUCUUCUUUGAGAUGAUUAACAGAUCGUCAUGUGCAUUACUGUCCGCAGCUUUACUCUAAAUUGGUUACCCUUUGAACACUAAAGUGCAUCCUUCAUAUUUUCUCCGAGGUUCGUUUUCUUGGAUAACCAUGUGUAUGUUCCUGGAUAGCCAUGGAUCAUAUUUUCUCAUAGUUGGUUCCUCUGUUUACUCAUAAUAGUGUAGCCUUCUAGAUUAUGUACGAGUUCUGUAUAGAGUUACUAAUGUAGUUCUUGUGUACAACUUUGAUGCAGCCAAAAGAGUCCAGUGAGGAAUGGACUAUUUUUGCUAUUAUAUAUUUGCCUUGUGCUGUGAAUGAGGAAAUGGAGUUAUUAAUCCAAGUAUCAUUUUUCAUCAGGUGUUCAUGGACAGUUGUUCAUGCUCUUCUCAGAUUAUGGGCAUAUGAGCUCACACGGUUUCAGUUAUAGUGUCAUCAGACCGUGGCAGUAGGUAGUGUCAUGUUAAUGUGAGACUUUGAGAUAGAUCUAGGGAACUAAAUAAAUGUAGACUUUCACAGGAGAUGAAUAAAUUGUGGUUAGUGUAUAAGUGACACAAUUUCGGCUAGAGAAAAAAGGGAACCUUCUUAUAUAUAUAAUAUGCUUAACGAAUUAUUUUCCCCACGAUGAUUCAAAAUUGAGCUAUGCAUGUUUCCAGUCCUUCUCACUAUGUUAUUCGUGCAUUCUAGAUGUAUUACUUCAGUAUUCAGGGUGAGGUUACUUCUAACUAACCAAAGAAAGAGAGAUGGUUAUGUUCUAUUCAAGUUUUUUCUGCAUUCUAUUUUUGUGAAACAAUUACCAGAAGAAGAUUUAUUCCUAUAAAAUAAAGUAUGUUAUUACGAUGGGUUCUGUGACUAUUUGAGUUAGUUUUACAUUGAAAGUUAUUUACCUUGGUGCAAAAUUUCGCUGUGGAUUGUUUUAUUCGAUGAAAAGUGACCAGUAGCACCGGGACAUCUCUAAUGCCCACUGCCAUUUGAUGAAACACAGGUAUAAAAUCUCUUUUCGCUAUUCCAAAGUUCAUCUUCAGGUACAUUAGAACUACCUCAUGGUGCUAAUAUCUGUUUAGUUGAAUGAUAAGGUUAGCUACAGCCUGAGCGUACAAUUCAAUAGUUUAGCAAAUGACAAGGGGGUGUGUGUGUAUAUUUCUUGCAUUAUUUUGCUUUGAUUUUACUUCAUGGUUUGAUGAAGUUAUUAUCAUUUUAGCUCUGUUUAUUAUCAGUAAAUUUUCACGCCUUACUGAAUAUACCAAUUGACUUCACGCUCUGAUAUUUCCUGUUGGGUUAUUCUCUACAUGGCGGAUUGGUGGUUUGCAAUUACCAAUUGAUGAUUUUUAGAAGGUCUGUGAUCAAAUUCCCUUCCAUAGAGAUGUUGAGUGUACCAGAAAAUAUGGCAUGAUAGAACUGCAUGAAGUAAAUCAGAGAGAGCAAAAUAAAAAUGUAUAUGCACUUCGCUGCUCCCUGUGCCACUCUCGAAAUUUAGUGAAAGGAUUCUCCAAAAAGAGAAUUAGCUACAGAAUUAGGCGAACCAUGAGUAUCCAUGUGUGGGGACAUAUCUGUACUUUCGAUGCAGGUCUAGCAUUUGAAAAAUCAUCUAACACCCUUUUAGACCGGUCUGUAUAUUUUACUGUAAGUGCAUGCCUUUGCUUCUCGAAUUUGAACUGUUAAACUAGAGAUAUGAAAUUUGAAAAAUCAUCUAACACUAUUUGAUAGCUUUUUUGGUCCUUUCUCAGUUGAAAUAUGAAAUAUAUUUGCAUGAUGCUGAUGCAAAAUGAUAUUUACUUGACUACACUGUUGAAAUUGACAUGAACUACACUUCUCCACUUAGGCUGUAGCCAUAUAUGAGUCCUAUUAAAUUCUUGAAAGUUGUCCGACUAAGCCAGGUUCUCAUUCAUGUUUUAUGUUACUCUUAUUUUUAUUUUGAAUGUGCAUGCAUGGUAUGCUUACGAACUGUUUAUUGGUACUGGAUUCUUUAAACAUAAUAAAUUAUCAGUAGUGUACUAAUGACAAUUGAUAAUAUGCUUUACCACCCAUUUGAAAUGCAAAUGAUCAUGUCUUAUUUUCUACAAUGGUAUCUGAUGUAGGCCUCUUAAUAUGGUAGUAGUAUCAUAUAAAUAUCUAUUUACACAAUUUAUGCUUCUUUUGUUCUUGGCUAACACAAUAAUAACAUGAUAUACCUCUGAUUUUAUAGGAAAUUCGGUCUUUGUGCUAUCCAAUUCUUCCUGGAUGUUUCUCCUAUGUUGCCAUGUCCAUGACUAUGCAGAUUAUUGUGUUACUUUUGUUGAGUUGUGCGGGUAUUGUCCGUGUGCAGCUAGCUUUUAGUAGACUCAUGCCUAGCCUAGGAGACAGACAUUUGUAAAUUUUGGGCCUGGUGGGUUGUCCAAUUAUUCAUAAGAAUGUUUAGAUGUCCUUGUUGAAUGCUUUAGUUCCUUUAUUCUUGAAAUGCCAAAAAAAUGUAAAAUAAAGAAACCAAUACCUGUCGUUCAAGAUCAUCUCGGUUUCUUUGUCUCGGAAAGAAAAAAACCAUAUUUCCAUAUA